rnacentral:rRNA from 1 species
UACGUAGGGUGCAAGCGUUGUCCGGAAUUAUUGGGCGUAAAGAGCUCGUAGGCGGUUUGUCGCGUCUGCUGUGAAAACGCGAGGCUCAACCUCGCGCCUGCAGUGGGUACGGGCAGACUAGAGUGCGGUAGGGGAGAGUGGAAUUCCUGGUGUAGCGGUGGAAUGCGCAGAUAUCAGGAGGAACACCGAUGGCGAAGGCAGAUCUCUGGGCCGUUACUGACGCUGAGGAGCGAAAGCGUGGGGAGCGAACAGG